AAAGGAUCAAUCCAGUUUUUCCAGGCUGAGGGACAAAAAACACCCACCAGUCCAAUUGACUCUUAGUGUGGAUUGGCUGAAAAUGCUAAGAAAGAAAAAUUGUCUGAGUGUCCUAGUGAGAGCAAGAGCAGCUCUCAUUCUGCAUCUUAAUGGCAAUAUAAAAUGACCAGCACUUCUGGAGCAGAUUACAGGGUCACAUCUCCAUUACCAUGGGGAAUGCAGAAGGCAGAAUACUGCAGGACUGUCCCACACAAGGUAGAAAAAUGGCACCAUUUCUCUCUGACCUGCAGGACAGUGUUGUGAAGAUGACAGUCUUUCCAUAGCUCCUGUUGGGACCCUCUCCACUAACCUCACCAGGAGCUGCACAAAUGUUGGAGCACUUCAGGUCUGAUCAUCAGCCCAGGCUACUUCACAUUGUGAUCAAGGAGG